rnacentral:rRNA from 1 species
CCGCCCGCGCGCGCGGCGGGCCUACGGGAGGCAGCAGUGGGGAAUAUUGCACAAUGGGCGCAAGCCUGAUGCAGCCAUGCCGCGUGUAUGAAGAAGGCCUUCGGGUUGUAAAGUACUUUCAGCGGGGAGGAAGGCGUUGUGGUUAAUAACCGCAGCGAUUGACGUUACCCGCAGAAGAAGCACCGGCUAACUCCGUGCCAGCAGCCGCGGUAAUA